rnacentral:rRNA from 1 species
UGACCUCAAAUCAGGUAGGAUUACCCGCUGAACUUAAGCAUAUCAAU